AUUCGGUUGAUGGGUCCAAAAUGGGACGAAAUGUGCAUCCUGGAU
rnacentral:hammerhead_ribozyme from 1 species